rnacentral:rRNA from 1 species
UAGCUUGCUACCUAACCUAGCGGCGGACGGGUGAGUAAUGCUUAGGAAUCUGCCUAUUAGUGGGGGACAACAUCUCGAAAGGGAUGCUAAUACCGCAUACGUCCUACGGGAGAAAGCAGGGGACCUUCGGGCCUUGCGCUAAUAGAUGAGCCUAAGUCGGAUUAGCUAGUUGGUGGGGUAAAGGCCUACCAAGGCGACGAUCUGUAGCGGGUCUGAGAGGAUGAUCCGCCACACUGGGACUGAGACACGGCCCAGACUCCUACGGGAGGCAGCAGUGGGGAAUAUUGGACAAUGGGGGGAACCCUGAUCCAGCCAUGCCGCGUGUGUGAAGAAGGCCUUUUGGUUGUAAAGCACUUUAAGCGAGGAGGAGGCUACCGAGAUUAAUACUCUUGGAUAGUGGACGUUACUCGCAGAAUAAGCACCGGCUAACUCUGUGCCAGCAGCCGCGGUAAUACAGAGGGUGCAAGCGUUAAUCGGAUUUACUGGGCGUAAAGCGCGCGUAGGUGGCCAAUUAAGUCAAAUGUGAAAUCCCCGAGCUUAACUUGGGAAUUGCAUUCGAUACUGGUUGGCUAGAGUAUGGGAGAGGAUGGUAGAAUUCCAGGUGUAGCGGUGAAAUGCGUAGAGAUCUGGAGGAAUACCGAUGGCGAAGGCAGCCAUCUGGCCUAAUACUGACACUGAGGUGCGAAAGCAUGGGGAGCAAACAGGAUUAGAUACCCUGGUAGUCCAUGCCGUAAACGAUGUCUACUAGCCGUUGGGGCCUUUGAGGCUUUAGUGGCGCAGCUAACGCGAUAAGUAGACCGCCUGGGGAGUACGGUCGCAAGACUAAACUCAAAUGAAUUGACGGGGGCCCGCACAAGCGGUGGAGCAUGUGGUUUAAUUCGAUGCACGCGAAGAACCUUACCUGGUCUUGACAUAGUAAGACUUUCCAGAGAUGGAUUGGUGCCUUCGGGAACUUACAUACAGGUGCUGCAUGGCUGUCGUCAGCUCGU